rnacentral:rRNA from 1 species
AGAAUCAACGCUGGCGGCGUGCCUAACACAUGCAAGUCGAACGCGGUUACCCCGCAAGGGGUAACUGAGUGGCGAACGGGUGAGUAACACGUGGGUGACCUACCUUCGAGUGGGGGAUAACGUCCCGAAAGGGACGCUAAUACCGCAUAACAUCCUGUCCUUGAACGGAUGGAGAUCAAAGCCGGGGAUCGCAAGACCUGGCGUUUGAAGAGGGGCCCGCGUCUGAUUAGCUAGUUGGUGGGGUAACGGCUCACCAAGGCGACGAUCAGUAUCCGGCCUGAGGAGGGCGGACGGACACACUGGGACUGAGACACGGCCCAGACUCCUACGGGAGCAGCAGGUGGGAAUUGUUCGCAAGUGGGCGCAAGCCUGACGACGCGAACGCCGCGGUGGAGGAUGGAAGGUCUUCGGAUUAGUAAACUCUGUU